GAUGAACGCUAGCGGCAGGCUUAACACAUGCAAGUCGAGGGGUAUGCCGAUUUAUCGGCAGAGACCGGCGCACGGGUGCGUAACGCGUAUGCAAUCUACCUUUCACAGAGGGAUAGCCCAGGGAAAUUUGGAUUAAUACCUCAUAGUAUAGCAGUUUCGCAUGAAACCACUAUUAAAGUUCCAACGGUGAAAGAUGAGCAUGCGUCCCAUUAGCUAGAUGGUAAGGUAACGGCUUACCAUGGCUACGAUGGGUAGGGGUCCUGAGAGGGAGAUCCCCCACACUGGUACUGAGACACGGACCAGACUCCUACGGGAGGCAGCAGUGAGGAAUAUUGGACAAUGGGCGCAAGCCUGAUCCAGCCAUGCCGCGUGCAGGAANAAGGUCCUAUGGAUUGGUAAACUGCUUUUAUACAGGAAGAAACACCUCUACGUGUAGAGACUUGACGGUACUGUAUGAAUAAGGA
rnacentral:rRNA from 1 species